ensembl:lncRNA
CAGACCGUGACAUCAUAGACCAGACCGUGAGGGGGAACGUGACCGUGACGUCACUCACGUGUACCAUAACCAGCAGCUGAUCGACUGAGAAGACGUCAUCACGCACGGCCAGUUUAUUAGAAACACCCGAGAACUGUAAUCAGAAUAUUUAGUAAUCCCCGAGGAAAUGACAGUAACAGUACAAGUACCACAGUAUCUGAGUAACAGUUCGUACAGUGUGAUCCAGUGCAGCACGCCAGCUAUGGGACCAAAGAGCAACUGUGAUGUAUUUGAAGCAAAGACAAAAUAACAUUUACAAACAUAAAAACAAAUCUUAAACAUAAAUCAGCCAAACUGCAGUGGUGUUUUAGCACCUGCAGCAGCACUGUGGACUGACUGGAAGCGAUGGAGAGACGGGUGUUGAAGGCCCAACCAGAGAGAAGUGCAGCAGUCCAGUCUAGACGUGGGACGUAGCUGCAGGAUGAAAGCUUUAUCUUUAAAGCAUGUUAUCAUCAUAUGACUGGAUCAGAUAAACAGCUGGAUCUCCCAGUGACUGCAGAGCCUCCACCAGUAUCACUGUAGUCUGUCCAGUUUCAAAUCUCACGGCCACCUGAGUGCUGUAUCCCAUCAUGCACUCUGCUCAGUAAACAUGACAGAGCUGAAACAGAGUAUGUCUAAGUGUUUAUGAAACAUCAUGCUGGUUAGAGCAGGCGGAUCGAUCCACAUAUCCAUAGCAUUGAUACCACGCUGGUGUGGGAUCAAUACUACUGCAAUACUGUGUUUCUAUCCUCUACGUUCAGCAUGAAGACCAGUGAAAUGUGUUAAACGUGUAUUUGCAGCCUGCAGCACAUUUAAACAACAGAAGCUGAACCAAAGUCUUUCAGAGACAGGAACAUCUCCCAGAAAAACUUUCAAAAUAAAAGCUGAAGGGUGUGUUUUGUUGUGGUAACUACUGUGGAAAGGUGAAGUCCCAGUUGUUGAGCGAUCAUUAAAAUGUGUUCAGAACUGGUAAAAUGAUGAUGAUGUCACAACUCA